rnacentral:ncRNA from 2 species
AUGAAGAUAGAGGGAGAGUCUGUGGAUGUAUGUGAUCCACCACCGAAGGAGCAAGUUAAUCAUUUGGCGAUGAUUGAUUAAUCUCUCAGGUACCCGAACCGCUAUCGGAUG